AUUAAUUUGAUCAUGUUUAUUUUGUACAGCAGACAAUGAAAUGAGAAUACUGAUGAAUGCAACUCACUUUUAGCAUGCAAUGAUUAUUCAACAAUUACUUUGCCAUGUUCUGAUAUUUAAAAACAUUUUACCCAGUCCCUGAAGUUUAUGACCUGUCCU